UACGUAGGGUGCGAGCGUUGUCCGGAAUUAUUGGGCGUAAAGGGCUCGUAGGCGGUCUGUCGCGUCAGGAGUGAAAACUCGGGGCUUAACCCCGAGCCUGCUUCUGAUACGGGCAGACUAGAGGUAUGCAGGGGAGAACGGAAUUCCUGGUGUAGCGGUGAAAUGCGCAGAUAUCAGGAGGAACACCGGUGGCGAAGGCGGUUCUCUGGGCAUUACCUGACGCUGAGGAGCGAAAGCGUGGGGAGCGAACAGG
rnacentral:rRNA from 1 species